AUGAACGCUGGCGGCGUGUCUAAGGCAUGCAAGUCGAAUGCCCUUUCUGUAAGGACAGAUUUAAAAUCUGUCCUUACAGAAAGGGCAUGGCAGACGGGUGAGUAACGCAUUGGUAACCUACCUCUAACUCGGGCAUAACUCGGAGAAAUCCGGGAUAAUACCUGAUAGUCAUGGGGGGAUAAAAAUCAUUCCCAUGUAAAACUCCGGUGGUUAGAGAGGGGCCUAUGUCCCAUCAGCUGGUUGGUAAGGUAACGGCUUACCAAGGCAAUGACGGGUAGCGGGUGUGAGAGCAUGACCCGCCUCACUGGGACUGAAAUACUGCCCAGACUCCUACGGGAGGCUGCAGUCAAGAAUAUUCCGCAAUGGCCGAAAGGCUGACGGAGCGACGCCGCGUGUAGGAAGACGCUCUUCGGGGUGUAAACUACUUUUCUCAGGGACGAAUUCGUGACGGUACCUGAGGAAUAAGCCACUGCUAACCUCGU
rnacentral:rRNA from 1 species